rnacentral:rRNA from 1 species
AUUGAACGCUGGCGGCAUGCCUUACACAUGCAAGUCGAACGGUAACGCGGGGCAACCUGGCGACGAGUGGCGAACGGGUGAGUAAUACAUCGGAACGUGCCCAGUAAUGGGGGAUAGCCCGGCGAAAGCCGGAUUAAUACCGCAUACGGCCUAAGGGUGAAAGAGGGGGAUCGCAAGACCUCUCGUUAUGGGAGCGGCCGAUGGCAGAUUAGGUAGUUGGUGGGGUGAAGUCCGACCAAGCGUACCAUCUGGAGCUGGUCUGAGAGGACGACCCGCCACACUGGGACUGGGACACGGCCCAGACUCCUACGGGGGGCAGCAGUGGGGAAUUUUGGACAAUGGACGCAAGUCUGAUCCAGCAAUGCCGCGUGCGGGAAGAAGGCCUUCGGGUCGUAAACCGCUUUUGUCAGGGAAGAAAUCUUCUGGGUUAAUACCUCGGGAGGAUGACGGUACCUGAAGAAUAAGCACCGGCUAACUACGUGCCAGCCGCCGCGGUAAAAC